rnacentral:rRNA from 1 species
GGCCGCAGAAUUUUGACUGUGCAAAGGUAGCAUAAUCACUAGUUUUUUAAUUGAAAGCUUGAAUGAAUGGUUGGACGAGGCAUUGGCUGUUUCAUAUUAAUUAUUAGAAUUUUAUUUUUGGGUAAAAAAGCCUAAAUUUUUUUGAAAGACGAGAAGACCCUAUAGAUCUUUAUAGUUCUUUUGUUUUGGCCAUUAGGAUUUUUUUGGUUAAUAUAAAUUGGGUUAUUUUGUUGGGGUGACAGAGAAAUUUGUUUAACUUUCUUUAUUUUUUUUACAUUUAUUUAUGGUUUUAGUGAUCCUUUGCUUAAGAUUAAAAAUUUAAGUUACCUUAGGGAUAACAGCGUAAUCUUCUCGGAGAGUUCAUAUCGAUGAGAGGGGUUGCGACCUCGAUGUUGGAUUAA